GACGAACGCUGGCGGCGUGCUUAACACAUGCAAGUCGAACGGAAAGGCCCUGCUUUUGUGGGGUGCUCGAGUGGCGAACGGGGGAGUAACACGUGAGUAACCUGCCCUUGACUGUGGGAUAAGUUCAGGAAACUGGGGCUAAUACCGGAUAGGAGCUCCUGCUGCAUGGUGGGGGUUGGAAAGUUUCGGCGGUUGGGGAUGGACUAGCGGCUCAUCAGCUUGUUGGUGGGGUAGUGGCUUACCAAGGCUUUGACGGGUAGCCGGCCUGAGAGGGUGACCGGCCACGUUGGGAUUGAGAUACGGCACAGACUCCUACGGGAGGCAGCAGUGGGGAAUAUUGCACUAUGGGCGGAAGCCUGAUGCAGCAACGCCGCGUGCGGGAUGACGGCCUUCGGUUUGUAAACCGCUUCCGCCUGUGCCGAAGCGUGAGUGACGGUACUGGGUAAAGAAGCACCGGCUAACUACGUG
rnacentral:rRNA from 1 species